GGCCGGGUGCGCCGCCAUCAUCGCGGAUCGGGUCUGGGCGGGGGUCUCUUCCCUGUGGUGACAGUGGCAAGACCCGAGGGAAUGGCAUGGAGACGCGCCAGGGAAGGGUCAGGUGGGGUGUUAGGAAAAGGUUCUCCAGAGGCUGGCACAGCUGCCCAGAGAGCCGUGGUGCCCCAUCCCUGCAGGUGCUCAAGGCCGGGUGGGCUGGGGCCCUGGGCAGCUGAGCUGGUGGGGGGCAGCCCUGCCCGUGGAUUGGGGUGGGACUGCGUGGGCUUUAAGGUCUCUCCAACCCGAGCCCGUCUGUGGUUCUGCGAUUGUAUGAACUUCCCCCUUGUAUUUAAAGAUCAAAAACAACAGAAGCCAGCUGAGUAAAGCUGCCCCGGGUGGUACCCAAACACUGCUGGAUGCAGAAGCAGAUGUAAGCGUGGAAGAAAACCUUGAAGGAACAGAUAACCGAGGAUACCAAUUAGCUCUCUGGGAGGCUUUGCAUUUGUUCCCUGGGAAAGCUGUCGCUAUCUCAGGUGUAGCAGUGGUUUGCAGCGCAGAGCUAGUUUUAGUUGACGGCGUGGGUACUAACAGGUGUAGCAAGAGCAGCUACAGGCUUGCUGAGGGGCCGGGGAAGGCCUGGGCGCUGGGCCCCAAUAGCCAUGGCCGUAGCGGUAGGAGCUCCUCGCUGGCAGCUGGCUCCGGUAUGCCUCCAGUGCUCUGACAGCAACGUGGCCAUGCAGUGAGAAGCACUCCUGCUCGCUGUGCACCAUUAUGUUGAUGGUGUCGUGUCAUCUGUUCCCCGCAGGAGCCUAGGGCUGCAGUGCAGGAGGAUGGGAUAAACGAGGAAUUCACUCUUUCCACUUCUGUAGUCUUUUGAGUCGCGUUCCGAAUCGUAUCGAGCAGCUAUCUUUUGCAAAACCGCCUACUCUUUUAAAAUGAAAUCUAAACAGAGCUUGAAAAUAAAAGGUAAGUGUGGAGUUAAUCCAGUUUCCGCAGGUUUGUUCCCCACCACUGUGAAAAACAGGAUUUAUAGGAGGGUUGUAGGACGUGAGUGAGAGGAAAGCUCUAUAUUCAAGAAGUGAUCGACCUUGUAUUAGGUAAUGGAUGAUUGUAAGAACAAGGAAGCUUUCACAGGCGUUAAUAUUCUUGGUGGCAGCAGACUGAACUGGCAAAUACGUACACAGCUGGCAAAGCCUUGUAUGCAGUAGCAGAUCAUCUGAGUGGUACGGAGGGAAGAAGGAGGUGCGUAAGGACAUCCUCACAGGUUCUUCAUGUGCACGAGAGCUGGUCACCAGUGCCAAUGCAUUGUCUGUAUCUUUAUUGUUUUUUAUCUUUGAUGUGGGCUCGCCACCUGCUUGGAUGUGCUGUUUCUGCACUGAAGACACUGCUUAGGCUGCCUUGGGCUGCCAACUUGUCUCCAGAUCGUACAGAGGGAGUAAAUUCUACACAAACAGGAGCAGGGAGGAUCAAUGAAGAGUCUGUAUGCAAGUGCUACGUUAUGAAAGAUCAUGAGGAGAAGGGGUUCAGAAUGUGCCAGCAGAGCUGAGUGGGCUAAGUUUGUGUACUGCAUUUGGUGGAAGCUAAACAGAAAAUAGUCUGUGAACUGAAAUACGAAGGACAGAAAUACGAAGGAUUGUUAAGGACAACAAAGGCUGAGCUGUCCAAACCAUGGAAGGCAUGGGCAGAGCUUUCCCUGGACCUGGAAAACUUCCUGAUGCACUGAAGUCUGAAGUCCGAAUCACGGGCACGCAAAGUCGCUGUGCAAUAGAAUGAACCAGGAAGCUUUUAGUGGGCGGCUUAUCCUGGAACAGUUCAUCGAAUGUGAUAUCUCUUUGAACAGGUAUUUAUUUCACAGGCGCUUUUUUGCUGCUGUGUAGCUCAUACUUACUUAAAGGGGGAAAUAGCUGGAUGACCAACUAGUUCUUCAAAAGAUACUACCUAAGUUCAAACAAAUGACACUCAGAGUAAAUAGAGAGAUGCCACAGAGCUCUGGUGACUGCUGAUUUUGAUUUGGUUAGAAAGGUGCCAAAAUCAGAGUCUGGAGAUACUUAGCCCUGUUUUUUUGCAGUCUGCCACGGUACCUAAUUACUGUUUCUGAUAUUAUCAUCUGCUUUAACACACAAAUUCCCUCAAACAGCGGUAGUCCCUAAUAUAUCCCUCUUAUAUUCCCAUCUUCUUGGCCACAUAUUGCUUACCGUGCUAAGUGCUAAAUGGCUUUUGGAAAGUGCUAAGAGGGUGCUGUGAAAGGGCUAAGCUGAGUUUCACAAACAACUGCCUGAACAGAGAAACAGUGUUAUUAGGGAGGGUAGUGCCAGCAGGCCGGCGUGGGCUUAUUCUGACAAAUCUGAAGAGCCGAACUUCACGGUCGUGUUCUUAGGAUGUUUUAAAUGAGACGUUCUCACCUUGCAGAAAUGAAGUUUUUUUGUUCCUAACUGAAAUAAAACAACUGGAUACUUCAUCAGAAAUAUUCAACAGGAUCAGUAUGUUCCAGGUCAAGUUCAUCUACUCUGCCAUUUCUACCAGAAACCAGCUUGGCACUCGAUAAUUCUUAGAAUGGAAGAACGAUUCUUGGAAGAUGAUGGGAACAAAGCCCCAGAGCUAGAAAAGGAACAUUGUUUCUUAAGCUCCAGCCAAUCUCAGGAAAACAAAAACCAACCCAGCCACAAAGGUACCAGAUCUGCACGACAAUUCAGAUGUUCCUUGACGAAACACAACUGUGUGGGCAUUUGCAGAAAGAGAGUAAAACAGAUCAAUAUUUGUUAUCUUCUUCAACGUGCGGCAGCACGUCGGGGCCGGUGUAUGAGCUUCAGCCUGCGAGUGGAAGGGCAGCGUCACAAUAGCAGAAGCCACUUAAUUGCAAGAGAGUCUCAAAAAUGCUGUGUGCACAGUCUUUCUGAAGAGUCAGUUCCCUGGGUGAAACAGCUCGGUCUGUGGUCUUGCGUUGUUUCUCUGCUUGUGUAUCAAAGUGCUUAACUGUUGGAAGAGGCACUCCCUUGAAUUGUGAUCACAAGGCACCUCUUUGACGCGUCAGUCACUGUCACUUAGGGGAUCUCAGCUCUGUUGGGCUACAGCAAAGCUUUUCAGUCUAGUGAGUGCUGGUGUGGACUGGUUUCUGGCCUUAGUGAGCAGUCACACUACUGCUAAUGGGUGAAGUUAACUCUAAUCCAGAAGGUCCGAAAAAGACCUGUUUUCAGUUAGUGAGUAUUUUGUUAAUUCUAUGGGGUGCUUCAGAUAGGAUCAUUUUCUGCGUGAAAGAGAUGUAGUAUCAUGAACAUUGAUGGCUGCUUUGCUAACUUUUAGUUUUCCAGUUUUUGCAGUUAGAUUACUACAGGUUAGGUGCUACUUAAUGUGGUUAAAUCAGUGGAAUGAAUUGCUUCUUUUUUCUUUUUUGCUCUAGCAACAUACUUUGAAAGCACUUAUUCCCUUAAGAAUAAUAGCAUCUGUAACUGUUUUAUCUAACUAUUGGAGUUCUGAAAUGUGUUUAUUACAAAAAAAAAAAAAAAAAAAAAAAAAAAAGGAGGGGGGGGUUGGCCACAGAGCAUGUUUUAUCUCUCAUCUAGUAGUCAUCAUCUGUAGGCCUGUAAGUUAUUCAUAAGGAAAGAUAGUUUAAGUUAUUAUAAGGAAAAGCCAGGAUUGUGAUCUCAUUUUUUGAUUGGAGGUGCUGUGACGCAGGGGCAGGUGAAAUGGUUUCCCCACAGUGUCAUGCCUUGAGUUGUGCCAGGGGAGGUUCAGGUUGGAUAUUAGGAAAAAUGUCUUAGGAAGAGUGGUGAGGUGUUGGUGCAGGCCGCCCAGGGGGGUGGUGCAGUCACCGUCCCUGGAGGUAUUAGAAAUGCGUGGACGUGGCACUGAGGGAUGUGGUUAGAGGGCAUGGUGGGGAUGGGCUGAUAGUUAGACUAGAUGAUUUCAGAUGUCUUUUCCAACCUUUAUGAUUCUAUGUGGCAUGUGCAAUAGGUCCCAGUUCCUACUACAUGCCCAGCAAAGUCCCCGGCCCACUGAGCCAUUCACUCCUCCACUGCACUAUUUCAUCUGCUUCCCUACUCCACAGCAAAGAGCAUAAUUCAGGUUUCUUGCAUCCUUCCAGCUACAGGUCUGCUACAGAGGAUGCUGCUUCCUAAGUGAUAAUGGAGUUCCAUAAAGCAUCCCAGAUUGACAACUUUUACUAGAACCUUAUGUUUCUUGAUUGUUUUAAAAGACAAAUAUAUAUCUUCUACUCCCACGUCAUGUAGAAGGAAAGACGCGUUACUAUCUAAAUGUGGCCAUUGAAGGAUAGCAAAACCUUGUUUGCCACUCAGCAUUGGCUAUACUUUCCUUCUCCAAGUUGAGAAAUGGUGAAGAGCUCAGCGGGUUCUAAAAUUGUUCUGUGUUUCUGAUCGUUUUGUUUCCUUAAUUAAAUUCAAAACUCCAGUAUUCAGAGAAACUGCAGACAGCUCCGGGGAGAACUGAAAAAGUGGAGGAAAAUUUUGUCAAUUUUUAUUUCCAGUUAAAUCAUAACAGAGACUGGUGGCUACGGAAACACAAUAUGUCCACAUGGAUGUAGUCAAGGCACAAGAGACUAAAAGUAGAGACUCUCUGCACUGGUCAGAGCUUAGGCACUUUUUAUUGUUCCCUGGAAACCUCAUGGGGUCUCCUCACCAAGAUGUUCAGAAACAGCUUCAGAAGAGGCUGGGGACUUAAUUCAUGGCCUUUUUGCACCAGCUGCCACAGUGUUUCUCUCUAAUUUGGUAGAUAGAAGGAAGUUGCUCUGCCCUUACUGUCAAACUAAAUAUUGCCAUCUCCAGGCUUUGUAACAAAAUAAAUCAUCUUGUCUUCAUUUCUGGGGUGGCACAAUUCAAUUGUGGCCACCCUGGGCAUACGCCUUGGGCUUGUUUCCAUCUUUAUCCAACAUUAGCUGCCCACUGGCAGGCCUGAGCAAACCUACAGUAUCCCUGAUGAAGUUUGUCACAACGCGUUGAACGACACUGUAACUAAAUGGCAACGGUUUUCAUUACUACAGUCUUUGAUGUGAAGCAGAAACGUCGUCUUGUCCUGCUCCCAGUGGUCAGUGAAAACAUUUCGUUUUGAUAAGCCAACAAUGACCGUACUAUUCUGCAGCCUCACCUUUCUUAAACAAUUCUGAAUCUUUCUUCACAGGAUAUGCUUUCAAAACCUCUUCUCAGAUUUGUUGCUCAGCUCUGAAAUCUUUGGUUUGUGUACAGCCCUCCUGUGUGAGGAGGAGCAAAACAGCUACCUGAUGUGUCUCACACCCAACGACCAGCAUUAGCUUUGCCUUUUUUUGGAACAGCGUCAUACUGUUGACUCCUAUUCAGUCCGUGGCUCACACCCCGAGCUGCCUUUCUGCCGUGCUGCUGUCUGGCCAUUUAUUCCCCAUUUUCUCUUUGUGCUUUUGAUUUCCUUCUCUUAAGUGUAGCACUUUGUACUUUUCUUUACUGAGUCGUUGAUUUUCUCCAAUUUAGCGAGAUCAUUUUGAAUUCUCAGUCCAUCCGCCAAACUGUUUGCAUCCUCUCCCAGCUAGAUGAUGUCUGCAGAUUUUAUGAGUACUCUUUAUUCCCUCGUCACAGGUUGUUAAUGAAAAUACUGCAUCAAAUGGAUCCACACAGAUGUUGGGAGGGCCCGGUUGAAAAUUCUUCUCAGUACAACAAGGAACAAUUGAUAAAUGUUUCUAAAGGAGAAUGUCACGUGGAGUGGUGUGAAAACCGUGUAACAAUCAAGACUGUUACCUCUUACCUAUGAAGAAGGGUAUGUGGAACCUGAUUUAACACAGAUAUAGGCUUGAACAAUUCUAUCAGUUUCCAAUCUUCAUUUCAAUCACUGCAAUUUUGUGUGUAACCAUAACCUCGGUAAUUGUCUUCUGUAUCUCAGUGAUUAAAGCUCAUUCAGUAUUCAGCCAAGUUUCAAGAAAACGUUUUCUUUCCUUGCUAAGACAAUAUGUAGACAGAAAUCAGAGACUUUUAACGGUCCCAGAUUCAGUGAGGGAGAUGUUGGCACCGUCUAAUACCCAUAUAGCUGUGAUAAACUCCUUUGCAAAAACAUGACAAUGUAGGUUGAUUCUUGAAGAUAUUUCCUCACUUUGUAGAAUCCCCAUUCAAGGAAGCACACUAAUGCGUGCUAAUAGUUGUGUAUGAUUUUAAUUUAUGUACUAUUCUGUAGUAGUAUGAAAUUCCUGAUGCAAUCAGUAUCAUUGCAAAAAAUAAAGCUGUU
ensembl:lncRNA